GAACAAUAAGGAGAAUGUGGCUGCAACACGUUCACCUGCGUCUGAUACGCGCACGAGGGCACGCAGCAACGCGAGCGACAUUCAUCCAGUGAAUGUGGCUGCAACACGUUCACCUUCGUCUGAUACUCGCACGAGGGCACGCAGCAACGCAACUGGGAACAAAAAAGAGUACGU